AGUGAACGCUGGCGGUAGGCCUAACACAUGCAAGUCGAACGGCAGCACAGUAAGAGCUUGCUCUUACGGGUGGCGAGUGGCGGACGGGUGAGGAAUACAUCGGAAUCUACUUUUUCGUGGGGGAUAACGUAGGGAAACUUACGCUAAUACCGCAUACGACCUACGGGUGAAAGCAGGGGAUCUUCGGAUCUUGCGCGAUUGAAUGAGCCGAUGUCGGAUUAGCUAGUUGGCGGGGUAAAGGCCCACCAAGGCGACGAUCCGUAGCUGGUCUGGGAGGAUGAUCAGCCACACUGGAACUGAGACACGGUCCAGACUCCUACGGGAGGCAGCAGUGGGGAAUAUUGGACAAUGGGCGCAAGCCUGAUCCAGCCAUACCGCGUGGGUGAAGAAGGCCUUCGGGUUGUAAAGCCCUUUUGUUGGGAAAGAAAAGCAGCAGGUUAAUACCCCGCUGUUCUGACGGUACCCAAAGAAUAAGCACCGGCUAACUUCGU
rnacentral:rRNA from 1 species